GGGAGCGCAGGAUCCUGGGCUGUGUCCCCCAGCGCCCUGGGCUCCAGGGCCUGCGCUGCUGGAAUCGCGCUCCCUGGGCUGCAGCUCCC
rnacentral:pre_miRNA from 1 species